AUUGAACGCUGGCGGCAUGCCUUACACAUGCAAGUCGAACGGCAGCACGGGAGCUUGCUCCUGGUGGCGAGUGGCGAACGGGUGAGUAAUACAUCGGAACGUACCCUGAAGUGGGGGAUAACGUAGCGAAAGUUACGCUAAUACCGCAUAUUCUGUGAGCAGGAAAGAGGGGGAUCGCAAGACCUCUUGCUUUAGGAGCGGCCGAUGUCGGAUUAGCUAGUUGGUGAGGUAAAGGCUCACCAAGGCGACGAUCCGUAGCGGGUCUGAGAGGAUGAUCCGCCACACUGGGACUGAGACACGGCCCAGACUCCUACGGGAGGCAGCAGUGGGGAAUAUUGGACAAUGGGCGCAAGCCUGAUCCAGCCAUGCCGCGUGAGUGACGAAGGUCUUCGGAUUGUAAAGCUCUUUUGGCGGGGACGGAUAAUGACGGUACCCGCAGAAUAAGCCCCGGCUAACUUCGUGCCAGCAGCCGCGGUAAU
rnacentral:rRNA from 1 species